ACUUUGUAAAAUUAUGGUUGAACCACUGGUGUCACAUGGACUGUUUUACUGAUGUCCUUACUAUGUUUCUGGGUCUGGGAACAUUCCAGUUCUGUUGUUAACCAUACAGGGUCCAGAUGUGUAACAUUUUCCACUGUAAUGUUUGUUAGAAUCCCAUCUUGACUGCUUGCCUGGAUUUCCCAUAAGAAGAUGAAUGACUGACUUUUUUUCAUGUAAUUUUAGAAAAAAAAAACAAAGGCUAAAUUUUGUUGUUUUCAUCUUCAGACUAAUGAAAUUGAAGUAUCCAAAUGAAGACCCUAGCAGUAUGGAGUAUAUGGAUACAGACGUUGCCAGCAGUCAGGAGGUGAUCCAGAAGACUCAUGGGAAUCUAUUUGAAGCUGCAUCAUUGAAGACAGUCCAGCAGAAGUUGGAGUUUUAAAGGAUAAAGUUCUUCAGGACCUAUAGCAGUUUACAGUCUGUAAAACCAUGUUACUGGGACUGAUUUAUGGACUGAACUUGAGCAACCCUCCUGAACUCAGGUACACAUUUGGAAUACUGAAGAAGUUAUUUCUGGAGCCACUUCCUGUUCCUGGAAUAAGGUUUGAUUGGUUGCCCAUGAAUGCCAAUUAGAAUUGUAUUUGCUAUUUUGUGUAAUUUUGUAAUGUGGUUUAAACUGUAUUUUACUGUGUGUAAUUAUUUAUUGCUUGUUUAACAAAUACACUUUGAUCAUUUGUGA